GGGAAAAAUUGUUUGUACCAACAAAAAUAAAAACACAAAGUUAAUUAUGUUUUAUCAUUUUUUUAUGUUUAGGUUGUCAGCAAGAUGAAAAGAACAAAUAUUCAGUUCAAAAGUCAAAAUGUGGAUAAGCUGAGGUUCAAGGUCCUACCUUUUGCAGAUUUUCAUAUUUUGCAUGAAUGAAUUUAAAGUUUAUAUCAUGGACGGCAGAGAAAGAAAAAAAAAACUUUGCAUUUUUCCUGCUUCUGAAGGAUAAAUAUAAAAC
rnacentral:lncRNA from 1 species